UUAUUUGCACAAGGCUAUUGGCUGGGCCAAUCAGAAGCCGGCCACAGCUGUUUUCACGGUAGUGUGUUAGGCUGUAUUUAUCAGAGGUCCGAGCGCUGACGCGGAAGCAUCAGCGGAAGCGUUCAGCCUCCUCGUGUGAAGACAGACGAGGGUAAAGACCAUCGACUUUUCCUGCGCGACUUUAACCGAGCAACGACUCCGAGCGACACACUUAAGCCCGCACGGGCUGCUCCUUCCAACCCCUGGUUAUCCGAGGUUCUUCGUGAACAUCGGACUACACUCAGAGCGGCAGAGAGAAAAUGGCGCAAAUCAAACGAUCUGUCGGACCUCAAACGACAAACUGGAUGCUAAACAGUCAGGUUUCAGGAGGGGCCAUUCAACUGAGACUGCGCUUCUCUCGGUCACUGAAGCCCUGCGAAUUGCAAAAGCCCAUUCCAAAUCAUCAGUCCUCAUUCUGCUGGACCUAUCUGCCGCUUUUGACACUGUCAAUCAUCAGAUACUCCUGUCCACCCUCUCAUCACUGGGCAUCUCUGGCAUUCCACUUCGCUGGUUUGAAUCCUAUCUCACUGAUGAUCCAACGGUAACUGCAAGGAUCUCAGGUUGCCUGGCGGACAUCUCGGCAUGGAUGAAAGAACAUCACCUGCAGCUCAACCUGGCAAAGACUGAGCUUCUUGUCCUCCCUGCCACUCCGACUCUACAGCAUG